GCCCGCCCACCCAGCCCAUGGCUCCAGGCCCACCUGGCGAACUGACUCUCAGCCCGCGCCUGGGCUAAGCCUGGCUAGGAGCCGCGCAGGUACUCGAGCAGUGGGCGCCCAGGGUCCGAGUGCUCUGCGCCCAGCGCACCGAGGGAGCCAAGGCCGUCGGGCCGGCGCUUUCAGCUGUCUCUCGCAGCAGCUCAGGGCCGCGCCCCCUGGGCUGGCGUCGUGCCCUAGCCAAGGAGAAGGUGGGCACCGGAACGUGGCCGCAGCGCUUAUCUGUGAAUUUCAGUCACGUGCCAGACUUUUUCUUAAUUACAAACUGAUAGAUGGUCCACAUCUCAACUAACAGUAUUGACGCUGUAAGAGCAUCAGAUUUGAAACAUAUCUGUAUUAAUGAAGAGUGACUGCAUGCAAACGACAAUAUGUCAGGAAAGAAAAAAAGAUCCCAUAGAAAUGUUUCAUUCUGGACAGCUGGUAAAAGUCUGUGCCCCAAUGGUUCGAUAUUCAAAGUUGGCUUUUAGGACACUAGUAAGAAAAUAUAGUUGUGAUCUGUGUUACACACCAAUGAUUGUUGCCGCUGAUUUUGUCAAAUCUAUAAAAGCCAGAGACAGCGAAUUUACCACAAAUCAAGGUGAUUGCCCAUUGAUUGUUCAGUUUGCUGCUAACGAUGCAAGACUUUUAUCUGAUGCUGCUCGUAUAGUCUGUCCUUAUGCGAAUGGAAUAGACAUUAACUGUGGUUGCCCUCAGAGGUAAAGCUCAAAGAAGUUGGAAGAAUUUUCCAAAAGAGUAGAAAAAAAACUGUGUGAACAUGGUGGGCAAUGGCAGAAGGUUAUGGGGCUUGCUUAAUAAACAAGCCAGAGCUUGUUCAAGACAUGGUGAAACAAGUAAGAAAUCAAGUGGAAACCCCUGGAUUUUCAGUUUCUAUUAAAAUAAGGAUCCAUGAUGACCUUAAAAGAACUGUAGAUCUUUGUCAAAAGGCUGAAGCAACAGGAGUUUCAUGGAUUACAGUCCAUGGAAGAACUGCUGAAGAAAGACAUCAGCCAGUGCACUAUGAUUCCAUUAAAAUAAUUAAGGAAAAUAUGUCUAUACCUGUAAUUGCUAAUGGAGACAUCAGAAGCUUAAAGGAAGCAGAAAAUGUGUGGCGGAUUACUGGGACAGAUGGUGUGAUGGUUGCAAGAGGACUCUUAGCAAACCCGGCCAUGUUUGCUGGAUAUGAGGAAACCCCACUGAAAUGCAUCUGGGACUGGGUUGACAUUGCUCUUGAACUCGGGACUCCUUACAUGUGUUUCCAUCAACAUUUAAUGUACAUGAUGGAAAAGAUAACUUCAAGGCAGGAAAAAAGGGUAUUUAAUGCUCUGUCAAGCACAUCAGCAAUCAUAGAUUACCUUACAGACCAUUAUGGCAUUUGACUAGACUUCCCAAAUAAUUUUAAUAUAUACUUUUAGACCCACAGUGAAACCACAGAAGGUCAUAUUUUGUACCUUAAACCAGUAGCUCUCAAAUUUUAGUAUAAAAACAAUUCCUGGGAGCGUUUUUUAAAAAUCAGUUGUAGACACCACCCUCAGAGAUUCUGAUUAGGUAGAUCUGGAGUAGACCCAGAAAUACACAGUUUAAAGAAAACUCCCAGUGGUUCAAACAUCCUGAUCAUCCUAGGCAAACAUUGACAAAUACUGCUCUGAAUCCUGUUCUAUAGAUAUUGGGGGGAUGGGUAGAGUGGGAAUUUUUUCCUAAUCAUGUUUUUAACAUUUUAAAAUAAAAUUUAAUACUAAGAAAUUAUGGCUUAUAGUAUCUAUAAAUUAACAAGAAGUAUGCAGGUGCAAAAAAGUGGUGGAACAAAUACCAACAUCCAUCCAAAAUGAAAAAGAACAGGAAAUUCUGAAUAGAAUUGCACUCAGAACUUAUAUUAAAAAUUCCAUUUGGUUAAUGACAUUAAAUUUGGUACAUUUCAAAACUUCUAGGUCCUCCAAAGAUUGAAAGCUUAAUAAUCUCCUACCUAAAAAGAUAAAAUUAAUUGCAAUCUACCAUAUCUUAAGUAUAGGAAAUUUGGUGUCCAACCUGGAGAUGAUUAUAUAUUUGAAAUAUUUCCUAGAGAAUAGUAACCAGGUUUUGUUUUUAACUUUAAAACCUAAUUACUUUUGUGCCUCUCAGCCGUUGAUUGUAACUUUAAAGUCCCAUGGUUUUGGAGUGUUAUUAAUAGAUUUUGUUAUCGGUGGGCAUGCACUGCAAGAAUUAAGUAUCUCAGACUGAAAUAAAACCGUUCAUAAUUAAAGUAUUAUUUUGUUUUGCCAACAUGAAAACUGUUAUAAGGAAACAAUUAUGUAAAACUGUUUAAUUCACGUUUGGGAAUAUUGAAUGAAUCCAUUUUAACAUAA